rnacentral:lncRNA from 1 species
UACUUGCCAUCAUCAAAAUCAUUGGCACUUGAUGGCGAGAGAGAAAAAUACUUACAUCAAUUGACUCAUGCCUUCUCCCUAUUUAAAAAGUUGUUAAGAUACAGGUUUAAAAUAAAAAUGAAUAUACAUAAAUCAUAAUGCAAGGAAAAUACAUAUGUACAUAAUAUCAUCACACCUUAUUUCUAUAUUGUCACUGGAUUCACAAUAAAGUCAUAACAGCACUGCAAUGACAAUAGCAAAAAAACUCCUGCCUGGUGAAAAGUAGCAUUAGAAAACAUAUAGUUUCCCUGACAGAGCAGUAUUUAAAAGUCAUUCUAAUUUUUUUUUUUGAUCACUUUAGCAUAAACAUAAAAUAUUUAAGCUAUUUUGAGUUAUCUUGAAUCUGCUGCUGUUUACAAAAUGUAAAUUCAUCAAAGUUGACAGAAUUACUCUGGUUUACAGUUGGAGGAAUUGAGGAAGAAUUUGGCGUUUUGAUUAAAUCUUUAACAUGCAAUUUACCUUUCAUAUACACAAAGCACACGGGCUCUCAGGCAGAAGAUAAGCAUGUAAUAAAUCAGCUUACAUUUUUUUCAGCUCUUACUCACAGCGGAAUCCCCAAAAUUCAUUUUAUUUUAUCUUUUUCCCACUCUUCAGCUUUUUCUCUUUCAUUUUCCUUCCUCUUCUUCAAUCACCACAGGUUUGCAUUUCUCAUUUUCUAUUUUACAUCACUCCGCUUUGCUCUCUACAAUGGAAAGACAGUCAGAAAAAAAAGGCAGACAGACAGACAGAACGGAGAGAGAUGCAGCCACUUGAAGGUGCUGCCCUGAACUUUCUGGUGUAGUUCCAGUGAUGGUCAAGUUUGGACAUGAAGAAGCAAAGACCCUGGUAGGACUUAUCAAUAAGGAUGCUUGAAUGAACUGGCAUGAGUUGUUGCACAAGAGAGGAACAGUUAUAUUUCAGUCAGGAGUUUGGCAGCAUGUGCAGUGCUCACUGAUAUAACUUUCAAAAUACAUCUCACCCCAGCUCCAGGUUUAAAAAACGUCAUUGUAAGCAACACUGAGCUAAAUUCAUCUGCUCCCAGCCAACCAAUACACCCUCAUUGGUUUGUGUAAUCUGUUAGAAAUUAUCUGGAUUUCCUGGUUAACAAGAGGGAGAUUUCACCACUAUGUGCUUGUCAGCUGGUUAACCUAACAGCAGAAAGUAGCUCAGCAGCAGCAGAGAGCCCCUCAGGGAAAGAAUCACACCUCCUCAGUCCUCAGCCAAUCUUCCAGACAAAAGCAAAAGAGUGACCAGCAAAGUCUGGACAUUUACGUGGGAAAAGGAAAGGUGAGAGGACAGAUUCUCCAGUUUGCUCUGUGAAGCUAAAGCAAAUACUAAAGGUAAAGGGAAAAAAAAUGUUGUACAGUGUCUGAGAAGGGAAAAGGAAGACAAUACACUGUGCAUUGUUCUCAACAGCUGACAUCAGUCAGGAUGGUUACUAUCAUCUUCACAUCUCAUCUGGAAAGUUUUGACUAGCAGAAUUUAUUUUUUGACAGGAAGUCUAGACCUCACUCUAAUUCAGUGGCUGGAAUUUCUUGAGGCAAUAUUAUGUUAAACCAAACAAGAUAACAAUACAGCCCUGGGUGCAGCACUCUCAGAAACACAAUAUGCGGAGAGGCAGCACUUUGUAAAGUUAUCAAAGCACAGCCCAAGUGCUGCUGUCAUCACCACCCAGCAGCUCCAGCUUCUCUGCUUUAUUUAUUGCUGUUCACUGUAUUCAGCUUAAACAGAGAGUGCUGAUUUCCCUCUUUCACCAGGGAGGAAGGCCGUCUCAGAAGGGAGGGUCUC